rnacentral:rRNA from 1 species
UACAGAGGGUGCGAGCGUUAAUCGGAAUUACUGGGCGUAAAGCGUGCGUAGACGGUUAUCUAAGUCGGAUGUGAAAGCCCCGGGCUCAACCUGGGAAUUGCAUUCGAGACUGAAUAGCUAGGGUACGGUAGAGGGAAGUGGAAUUUCCGGUGUAACGGUGAAAUGCGUAGAUAUCGGAAGGAACAUCAGUGGCGAAAGCGACUUCCUGGACCAGUACCGACGUUCAGGCACGAAAGCGUGGGGAGCAAACAGG